GUCUACAGCUAUGCCACCCUGAACACGCCCGAUCCCGUCUGAUCUUGGAAGCUAAGCAGGGUCGGGCCUGGUUAAUACUUGGAUGGGAGACCACGUAGGAAUACCAGGUGCUGUAGAUG
rnacentral:rRNA from 1 species